GGAGCUGUUCGGACACCAUGAGUAUUGGGACAGAAUCUGGAUUUAGGAGUCUGCAACUGUACCGCAGGCUUGGCCUGGCUGGACGUCCGAGUGGGCUGAUGAAGCUCUCGGGAUUCUACACAACUUUUGGUGCUUCGACCGAGUGCUUUGCAUGGGAAGCUGGCUGAGCUUUGGGUUGGGCAUUCUGAAUGCUUUGUGAAUUAUUCCUCUUAGCGGCAUUGAAUGACCUGGAGUUUUUCUCAUCUUUGUGGGGUUUCCUUGGAUUUUGAAGACAGACUGUUCUAUUGCUCUGUGUCUUCAAAACACGAAUGCCUUCCCGGCAAGGAUUCUGCAAUUUACUGGAAGUCUGUGUUUGGGCUUUGGCUAGUGAAUUUAUGUGAAGUCCUUUUUUCGAGGAUGUGUUUUUAUCAACCUCUGCCAAUGUCUUCACUCUCUUUACUUGAAUGUUUUCCCCAUUGAUACCACAAUUUUCCUUUCCAUCACCUGUCUAAGAGAGAAAAAAGAGAGAGACAUAAUUUCAACCUUGUGCACUUUCAACACUUAGAAUAAUGCAAAAUGUAAAGAAAUUUAUUUAACUUACAAUUUUAAACGUUUGAUUCUUUUCAGCAUAUUUCUUUGUAACAGGCUUCUCCUUGAGAUAUGGUCUUGAGUGAAAAAACAAAACAGUUGAUUCAAAACAUAAACACACAAUGGUAGUAAUACUGAAAGUGUUUUAUUUUAUGGUAAAAGUAAUUUCAACAAAUCUUACAAACAGAAAGAACCCCUCAAGACCACCUACUUUGGAUUAGGUAUUUUCAGUCUUCCUUUUGCAGCAAGAUAUUCUGCCAAUUUCACUUUGCGUUGCUCUGUAAAUGAAAGAGAAAAAAGCAUUGAAAAAACAUUGCAUGCAUGUAAUAAUAAAUGUUAGAAAUGUGUG